CUGACCUUUCACACAGCAAAUAAGAAUUUGCUUACCCACCUUUACUUACCUUUGCUGACCCAAAUAAGAACGACUCUACCUGCACUGUGGGAGACCUGGGUUCGAUCCAUGGGUUGGGAAGAUCCCCUGGAGAAGGGCAUGAAAACCAGCUCUAGUAUUCUUGCCUGGAGAAUCCCGUGGACAGAGGAGCCUGGACUUCCAGUACCACACUGAAUAAAAGUGGCAAGAGUGGGUAUACUUGUCUUCCUGAUUUUGAGGUAAAUGUAGAAUUCCCUUGAGAAGUUGCUGUGAAGUUGUGUGGUUUGCUACUUUCUCUGGCAGCAUAGUCUAUGGCCUGCCAAUGCCUCUGAAGGGAGACAGACUGGACUUGUGACACUUUUCAGGUUUGUUUCUUAAACUCACUUCAUGGAUAAACAGCUUCAGUGAGCUUUUCAAGUGAUUCCCAGGAGGUAGAGCACCUCCCUACUGUUCUACAUUAGAGAAUAAUUUAACAGACACUUAAAAGUAUUUCACAGUCUCAGAAUGG
ensembl:lncRNA